GGUGAACGCUGGCGGCGUGCUUAACACAUGCAAGUCGAACGGCAGCACAGAGGAGCUUGCUCCUUGGGUGGCGAGUGGCGGACGGGUGAGGAAUACAUCGGAAUCUGCCUAUUUGUGGGGGAUAACGUAGGGAAACUUACGCUAAUACCGCAUACGACCUACGGGUGAAAGCGGAGGACCUUCGGGCUUCGCGCAGAUAGAUGAGCCGAUGUCGGAUUAGCUAGUUGGCGGGGUAAAGGCCCGCCAAGGCGACGAUCCGUAGCUGGUCUGAGAGGAUGAUCAGCCACACUGGAACUGAGACACGGUCCAG
rnacentral:rRNA from 1 species